UUUCUAAAUCUAAGAUAAGAUAUCUUCGCUAGACGUAUUUCUGUUGACCUUCUAGUCGGCAUUAUUUCAGCUACGAUGAAAGCGCAUACGAAGUCGCGUCAAAAUCUCCUUAAUGAAUAUGUAGGCCAUUAACGAACGGUAUGACGUAAUAUGCACUUGCUGCUCUUUCCCCCAAACACACACAAAAUGAACCCACAGAUCUAAAGCGGCUAUUACGUGAUCAACGGUGGAUGUUUUUUGCAAACUAAAGAUACAACUCCUGUCCAGCGCUGAAUGCCCGAUAUGGUCCCACAAAUUAUUCCUUACCAUAGCAUUGUGACGCCAUCUUUUGCACGUAAAGUACGGAAAAAUUAUUUCCUACGCUGCAUUAACAUGCAUGCCACCGAUCACAACCAUUUUUUUUAUAGGUCUCC
rnacentral:lncRNA from 1 species